AGUGAACGCUGGCGGUAGGCCUAACACAUGCAAGUCGAACGGCAGCACAGUAAGAGCUUGCUCUUACGGGUGGCGAGUGGCGGACGGGUGAGGAAUACAUCGGAACCUACUUUUUCGUGGGGGAUAACGUAGGGAAACUUACGCUAAUACCGCAUACGACCUACGGGUGAAAGCAGGGGGUCUUCGGACCUUGCGCGAUUGAAUGAGCCGAUGUCGGAUUAGCUAGUUGGCGGGGUAAAGGCCCACCAAGGCGACGAUCCGUAGCUGGUCUGAGAGGAUGAUCAGCCACACUGGAACUGAGACACGGUCCAGACUCCUACGGGAGGCAGCAGUGGGGAAUAUUGGACAAUGGGCGCAAGCCUGAUCCAGCCAUACCGCGUGGGUGAAGAAGGCCUUCGGGUUGUAAAGCCCUUUUGUUGGGAAAGAAAAGCAGCAGGUUAAUACCCCGCUGUUCUGACGGUACCCAAAGAAUAAGCACCGGCUAACUUCGUG
rnacentral:rRNA from 1 species